AGAACUUGAAACCGUGUGCUUACAAGUAGUCAGAGCCCGUUAAUGGGUGAUGGCGUGCCUUUUGUAGAAUGAACCGGCGAGUUACGAUCUGAUGCAAGGUUAAGCAGCAAAUGUGGAGCCGCAGCGAAAGCGAGUCUGAAUAGGGCGUUGAGUAUUUGGUCGUAGACCCGAAACCAGGUGAUCUACCCUUGGUCAGGUUGAAGUUCAGGUAACACUGAAUGGAGGACCGAACCGACUUACGUUGAAAAGUGAGCGGAUGAACUGAGGGUAGCGGAGAAAUUCCAAUCGAACUUGGAGAUAGCUGGUUCUCUCCGAAAUAGCUUUAGGGCUAGCCUCAAGUGAUGAUUAUUGGAGGUAGAGCACUGUUUGGACGAGGGGCCCCUCUCGGGUUACCGAAUUCAGACAAACUCCGAAUGCCAAUUAAUUUAACUUGGGAGUCAGAACAUGGGUGAUAAGGUCCGUGUUCGAAAGGGAAACAGCCCAGACCACCAGCUAAGGUCCCAAAAUAUAUGUUAAGUGGAAAAGGAUGUGGCGUUGCCCAGACAACUAGGAUGUUGGCUUAGAAGCAGCCAUCAUUUAAAGAGUGCGUAAUAGCUCACUAGUCGAGUGACACUGCGCCGAAAAUGUACCGGGGCUAAACAUAUUACCGAAGCUGUGGAUUGUCCUUUGGACAAUGGUAGGAGAGCGUUCUAAGGGCGUCGAAGCAUGAUCGCAAGGACAUGUGGAGCGCUUAGAAGUGAGAAUGCCGGUGUGAGUAGCGAAAGACGGGUGAGAAUCCCGUCCACCGAUUGACUAAGGUUUCCAGAGGAAGGCUCGUCCGCUCUGGGUUAGUCGGGUCCUAAGCUGAGGCCGACAGGCGUAGGCGAUGGAUAACAGGUUGAUAUUCCUGUACCACCUAGUAUCGUUUUAAUCGAUGGGGGGACGCAGUAGGAUAGGCGAAGCGUGCUGUUGGAGUGCACGUCCAAGCAGUAAGGCUGAGUGUUAGGCAAAUCCGGCACUCAUAAGGCUGAGCUGUGAUGGGGAGAGGAAAUUGUUUCCUCGAGUCGUUGAUUUCACACUGCCGAGAAAAGCCUCUAGAUAGAUAACAGGUGCCCGUACCGCAAACCGACACAGGUAGUCAAGAUGAGAAUUCUAAGGUGAGCGAGCGAACUCUCGUUAAGGAACUCGGCAAAAUGACCCCGUAACUUCGGGAGAAGGGGUGCUCUUUAGGGUUCACGCCCAGAAGAGCCGCAGUGAAUAGGCCCAAGCGACUGUUUAUCAAAAACACAGGUCUCUGCUAAACCGUAAGGUGAUGUAUAGGGGCUGACGCCUGCCCGGUGCUGGAAGGUUAAGAGGAGUGGUUAGCUUCUGCGAAGCUACGAAUCGAAGCCCCAGUAAACGGCGGCCGUAACUAUAACGGUCCUAAGGUAGCGAAAUUCCUUGUCGGGUAAGUUCCGACCCGCACGAAAGGCGUAACGAUUUGGGCACUGUCUCAACGAGAGACUCGGUGAAAUCAUAGUACCUGUGAAGAUGCAGGUUACCCGCGACAGGACGGAAAGACCCCGUGGAGCUUUACUGUAGCCUGAUAUUGAAAUUCGGCACAGCUUGUACAGGAUAGGUAGGAGCCUUUGAAACGUGAGCGCUAGCUUACGUGGAGGCGUUGGUGGGAUACUACCCUAGCUGUGUUGGCUUUCUAACCCGCACCACUUAUCGUGGUGGGAGACAGUGUCAGGCGGGCAGUUUGACUGGGGCGGUCGCCUCCUAAAAGGUAACGGAGGCGCUCAAAGGUUCCCUCAGAAUGGUUGGAAAUCAUUCAUAGAGUGUAAAGGCAUAAGGGAGCUUGACUGCGAGACCUACAAGUCGAGCAGGGUCGAAAGACGGACUUAGUGAUCCGGUGGUUCCGCAUGGAAGGGCCAUCGCUCAACGGAUAAAAGCUACCCCGGGGAUAACAGGCUUAUCUCCCCCAAGAGUUCACAUCGACGGGGAGGUUUGGCACCUCGAUGUCGGCUCAUCGCAUCCUGGGGCUGUAGUCGGUCCCAAGGGUUGGGCUGUUCGCCCAUUAAAGCGGUACGCGAGCUGGGUUCAGAACGUCGUGAGACAGUUCGGUCCCUAUCCGUCGUGGGCGUAGGAAAUUUGAGAGGAGCUGUCCUUAGUACGAGAGGACCGGGAUGGACAUACCUCUGGUGUACCAGUUGUCGUGCCAACGGCAUAGCUGGGUAGCUAUGUAUGGACGGGAUAAGUGCUGAAAGCAUCUAAGCAUGAAGCCCCCCUCAAGAUGAGAUUUCCCAACUUCGGUUAUAAGAUCCCUCGAAGAUGACGAGGUUAAUAGGUUCGAGGUGGAAGCGUGGUGACACGUGGAGCUGACGAAUACUAAUCGAUCGAAGACUUAAUCAA
rnacentral:rRNA from 1 species